AACGAACGCUGGCGGCAUGCCUAACACAUGCAAGUCGAACGAGACCUUCGGGUCUAGUGGCGCACGGGUGCGUAACGCGUGGGAAUCUGCCCUUUGCUUCGGAAUAACAGUUAGAAAUGACUGCUAAUACCGGAUGAUGUCUUCGGACCAAAGAUUUAUCGGCAAAGGAUGAGCCCGCGUAGGAUUAGGUAGUUGGUGGGGUAAAAGGCCUACCAAGCCGACGAUCCUUAGCUGGUCUGAGAGGAUGAUCAGCCACACUGGGACUGAGACACGGCCCAGACUCCUACGGGAGGCAGCAGUGGGGGAAUAUUGGACAAUAGGGCGAAAGCCUGAUCCAGCAAUGCCGCGUGAGUGAUGAAGG
rnacentral:rRNA from 1 species